rnacentral:tRNA from 1 species
GAGGGUAUAGCUCAGAGGUAGAGCACAUGCUUAGCAUGCAUGAGGUCCUGGGUUUAAUCCCCAGUACCUCCA